AAAAACAGAUAAGGGCAGACGGUGGAUGCCUUGGCUCUCGGAGGCGAAGAAGGACGUGAUAAGCUGCGAUAAGCUACGGGGAUUGGCACAUACAAAUUGAUCCGUAGAUUUCCGAAUGGGGCAACCCGGUACAUUGAAGAUGUAUCACACUGCAGAGCAGUGAGCGAACGUGGGGAACUGAAACAUCUAAGUACCCAUAGGAGAAGAAAACAAAAGUGAUUCCCUUAGUAGUGGCGAGCGAACGGGGAACAGCCCAAACCAGAUUUGUUUCGGCAAAACUGGGGUUGUAGGACCUCUAUAUAGGAAGACAAGAUUAGGAGAACGGUCUGGAAAGGCCGGCCAUAGAACAUGAGAGCUGUGUAUCCGAAAAUCUUCGUUGGACUUAGAGGUAUCCUGAGUAGCGCGGGACACGUGAAAUCCUGUGUGAAUCUGCGGGGCCCAUCCCGUAAGGCUAAAUACUCCCGAGAGACCGAUAGUGAACCAGUACCGUGAGGGAAAGGUGAAAAGAACCUCGAACAGAGGAGUGCAAUAGAUCCUGAACCCGUCUGCCUACAAGCGGUAGGAGCAGCUUCGAGCUGUGACUGCGUGCCUUUUGCAUAAUGAACCUACGAGUUACUUUCUCUGGCAAGGUUAAGUGAUGAAGAGUCACGUGAGCCGAAGCGAAAGCGAGUCUGAAUAGGGCGAUUUAGUCAGAGGGAGUAGACGCGAAACCAAGUGAUCUACCCUUGGUCAGGUUGAAGGUUGGGUAAAACCAACUGGAGGACCGCACCGGUAAGCGUUGAAAAGCUUUCGGAUGAACUGAGGGUAGGGGUGAAAGGCUAAUCAAACUUGGAGAUAGCUCGUACUCCCCGAAAUGCAUUUAGGUGCAGCCUGUGGAGUUUCUUACGUGAGGUAGAGCGACUGAUUGGAUGCGAGGCUUUCACCGGCUAUCAAGUCCAGACAAACUCCGAAUGCACGUUAAGUAAGAUCCACGGAGUGAGGGCAUGGGUGCUAAGGUCCAUGUCCGAGAGGAGAAGAAUCCAGACCAUCGGCUAAGGUCCCGAAAUAAUAGCUAAGUUGACCAAACGAAGUCAGAGUGCGAAGACAGCUAGGAUGUUGGCUUGGAAGCAGCCAUUCAUUUAAAGAGUGCGUAACAGCUCACUAGUCGAGUGCUUUGGCGUGGAUAAUAAUCGGGCAUAAGCUAUUUACCGAAGCUGUGGGAUGUGUAAACAUCGGUAGGGGAGCAUUCUAGCGACGCUGAAGGUGAGAGGACAACUCUUGCUGGAGUUUCUAGAAAAGCAAAUGUAGGUAUAAGUAACGAUAAAGGAGGUGAGAAACCUCCUCGCCGAAAGACUAAGGGUUCCUGAUCAACGCUAAUCGGAUCAGGGUUAGUCGGGGCCUAAGGGGAAGCCGAACGGCGCACCCGAUGGAAGAACCGGUUAAUAUUCCGGUACUAAUUAUGUGAGCGAUGUGGAGACGGAGAUGUGACGGUCCUGCCACCUGACGGAAUAGGUGGUUGAAGGGUGUAGGAGUUGAUCUGAGUAGGCAAAUCCGCUCGGAGAUCCGAACCUGACAGUACUCUGAGUGCUUGCACAAGGAGAUAUGGACAACUGUAACGGUGCUCCCAAGAAAAUCCGCUAAGCAUAUUGCAUGAUUACCCGUACCAUAAACCGACACAGGUGGUUGGGUUGAGUAUACUAAGGCGCUCGAGUGAUUCGCGGUUAAGGAACUAGGCAAAAUAGUCCUGUAACUUCGGAAUAAAGGACGCUCACAGUGAAGGCUGUGAGCCGCAGAGAAUAGGCCCAGGCGACUGUUUAACAAAAACACAUGGCUAUGCUAAAUCGAAAGAUACUGUAUAUAGCCUGACACCUGCCCGGUGCUGGAAGGUUAAGAGGAGAUGUCAUCGCAAGAGAAGCAUUGAAUUGAAGCCCCAGUAAACGGCGGCCGUAACUAUAACGGUCCUAAGGUAGCGAAAUUCCUUGUCGGGUAAGUUCCGACCUGCACGAAUGGUGUAAUGAUCCGGACGCUGUCUCAAUCAUGAUCUCAGUGAAAUUGUAGUAUCGGUGAAGAUGCCGAUUACCCGCGAUGGGACGAAAAGACCCCGUGAACCUUUACUACAGCUUAGCAUUGACCUUGGUCAUCCGAUGUGUAGGAUAGGCCGGAGGCUUCGAAGCGGGUGCGCCAGCAUUCGUGGAGCCAUCCUUGAAAUACGGCCCUUUGGCUGUCUGAGGUCUAACGCGCCUGAGGUGCGGACACUGCUUGGUGGGUAGUUUGACUGGGGUGGUCGCCUCCAAAAGCGUAACGGAGGCUUCCAAAGGUGCCCUCGGGCCGAUUGGUAACCGGCCUUAUAGAGUGCAAUGGCAUAAGGGCGCUUGACUGGGAGGCAGACAUGCCGAGCAGGCAGGAAACUGGGGCAUAGUGAUCCGGCGGACGUGUAUGGAAACUCCGUCGCUCAAAGGAUAAAAGGUACUCCGGGGAUAACAGGCUGAUCCCCCCCAAGAGCUCAUAUCGACGGGGUGGUUUGGCACCUCGAUGUCGGCUCGUCACAUCCUGGGGCUGGAGAAGGUCCCAAGGGUUGGGCUGUUCGCCCAUUAAAGUGGCACGCGAGCUGGGUUCAGAACGUCGUGAGACAGUUCGGUCUCUAUCUGUUGUGGGCGUUUGAGAUUUGAGGGGGCCUGACACUAGUACGAGAGGACCGUGUUGGACGAACCGCUGGUUUAUCGGUUAUGCCGCCAGGCGUAUUGCCGAGUAGCUACGUUCGGUUGAGAUAAGUGCUGAAAGCAUCUAAGUACGAAGCUUGCCUCAAGAUUAGAUCUCAUUAUAAGGGUGGUUAUAGACGAUGACCUUGAUAGGCUACAGGUGUAAAGGCGGUGACGUCAUAGCCGAGUAGUACUAAUUGCCCGAAAGUUUUUGCCUG
rnacentral:rRNA from 1 species